AAAGCAAAAUAGAAACAUACUGCAAAUCAAAUAGUAAGUGGAAUUUUGAUAAAGCUUGAAUUCAAAACAUCAGGUAUGCUUCCAUUGUACCUUUAUCUUCAUCAUUGUCCUUUCUCUUUCCACAUAUGCUUUUUGACCCCUUCAACCUUUUCAUUCUGCCUGCACUUGUUAACUAUUCACUUUGAAAAGGAAGACAUCAAAAGGGAAGAG